CGCGUAGGCGGUCUGCUAAGUUGGAUGUGAAAACUCUGGGCUUAACCCAGAGCCUGCAUUCAAAACUGACAGGCUAGAGUUCUGGAGGGGGAAGCGGAAUUCCUGGUGUAGCGGUGAAAUGCGUAGAUAUCAGGAGGAACACCGGUGGCGAAGGCGGCUUCCUGGACAGAAACCGACGCUGAGGCGCGAAAGCUAGGGGAGCAAACA
rnacentral:rRNA from 1 species